rnacentral:rRNA from 1 species
GGAUCCAGACUUUGAUUAUGGCUCAGGAUGAACGCUAGCUACAGGCUUAACACAUGCAAGUCGAGGGGAAACGACAUCGAAAGCUUGCUUUUGAUGGGCGUCGACCGGCGCACGGGUGAGUAACGCGUAUCCAACCUGCCCAUCACUUGGGGAUACCUUGCGAAAGUAAGACUAAUACCCAAUGACGUCUCUAGAAGACAUCUGAAAGAGAUUAAAGAUUUAUCGGUGAUGGAUGGGGAUGCGUCUGAUUAGCUUGUUGGCGGGGUAACGGCCCACCAAGGCAACGAUCAGUAGGGGUUCUGAGAGGAAGGUCCCCCACAUUGGAACUGAGACACGGUCCAAACUCCUACGGGAGGCAGCAGUGAGGAAUAUUGGUCAAUGGGCGAGAGCCUGAACCAGCCAAGUAGCGUGCAGGAUGACGGCCCUAUGGGUUGUAAACUGCUUUUAUAAGGGAAUAAAGUGAGUCUCGUGAGACUUUUUGCAUGUACCUUAUGAAUAAGGACCGGCUAAUUCCGUGCCAGCAGCCGCGGUAAUACGGAAGGUCCGGGCGUUAUCCGGAUUUAUUGGGUUUAAAGGGAGCGUAGGCCGGAGAUUAAGCGUGUUGUGAAAUGUAGACGCUCAACGUCUGCACUGCAGCGCGAACUGGUUUCCUUGAGUACGCACAAAGUGGGCGGAAUUCGUGGUGUAGCGGUGAAAUGCUUAGAUAUCACGAAGAACUCCGAUUGCGAAGGCAGCUCACUGGAGCGCAACUGACGCUGAAGCUCGAAAGUGCGGGUAUCGAACAGGAUUAGAUACCCUGGUAGUCCGCACGGUAAACGAUGGAUGCCCGCUGUUGGUCUGAAUAGGUCAGCGGCCAAGCGAAAGCAUUAAGCAUCCCACCUGGGGAGUACGCCGGCAACGGUGCAACUCAAAGGAAUUGACGG